CUGGUGUGAGUCCAUCCUGGGCUGCUGUUCUUUUGAGCAGUGGUCGUUUAUCUCCGUCCGCCUUCUCUUCCACCUAAGUGCGUGUCGCCACCCGAUGGAAGAUUCGAUGGACAUGGACAUGAGCUCCCUGAGGCCCCAGAAUUAUCUUUUCGGUUGUGAACUAAAGGCCGACAAAGAUUAUCACUUUAAGAUGGAUAAUGAUGAAAAUGAGCACCAGUUAUCUUUAAGAACGGUCAGUUUAGGAGCUGGUGCAAAGGAUGAAUUGCACAUUGUUGAAGCAGAGGCAAUGAAUUACGAAGGCAGUCCAAUUAAAGUAACACUGGCAGCUUUGAAAAUGUCUGUACAGCCAAUGGUUUCCCUUGGGGCUUUGAAAUAACACCACCAGUGGUCUUACGAUUGAAGUGUGGUUCAGGGCCAGUGUAUGCUAGUGGACAGCACUUAGUAGCUGUGGAGGAAGAUGCAGAGUCAGAAGAUGAGGAGGAGGAUAUGAAACUCUUAAGCUGAUGAAGAUGAUGAUGAUUUUGAUGAGGAAACUGAAGAAAAAGUGCCAGUGAAGAAUAUAUGCGAUACUCCAGCCAAAAAUGCACAUAAGUCAAAUCAGAAUGGAAAAGACUCAAAACCAUCAUCAACACCAAGAUCAAAAGGACAAGAAUCCUUCAAAAAACAGGAAAAAACUCCUAAAACACCAAAAGGACCUAGUUCUAUAGAAGACAUUAAAGCAAAAAUGCAAGCAAGUAUAGAAAAAGAUGGUUCUCUUCCCAAAGUGGAAGCCAAGUUCAUCAGUUAUGUGAAGAAUUGCUUCUGGAUGACUGACCAGGAGGCUAUUCAAGAUCUCUGGCAGUGGAGGAAGUCUCUUUAAGAAAAUAGUUUAAACAAUUUGUUAAAAAUUUUCCAUCUUAUUUCAUUUCUGUGACAGUUGAUAUCUGGCUGUCCUUUUUUUUAAUGCAGAGUGAGAAUUUUCCCUACUGUGGUUGAUAAAUGUUGUCAAGAUACCAUUGCCAAGAAUGUGUUGUCCAAAAUGCCUGUAGUUUUUAAAGAUGGAACUCCACCCUUUGCUUGGUUUUAAGUAUGUAUGGAAUGUUAUGACAGGGCAUAGAAGUGGUGGUCAGACAUGGAAAUGGUGGGGAGACAAAAGUAUACAUGUGAAAUAAAACUCAGUAUUUUAAUAAAGUAAAAAA